CCUACGGGUGGCUGCAGUGGGGAAUUUUGGACAAUGGGGGCAACCCUGAUCCAGCCAUGCCGCGUGCGGGAAGAAGGCCUUCGGGUUGUAAACCGCUUUCGGCCGGAACGAAAUCGCCGGGGAGAACAUCCCCGGUGGAUGACGGUACCGGAAGAAGAAGCACCGGCUAACUACGUGCCAGCAGCCGCGGUAAUACGUAGGGUGCGAGCGUUAAUCGGAGUUACUGGGGGGGAUUCGUGCGGACGGAGUUGAGAGCCCCGGGCUUAACCUGGGAACUGCGUUUGUGACUGGCGGGCUGGAGUGCGGAAGAGGGAGGUGGAAUUCCACGUGUAGCAGUGAAAUGCGUAGAGAUGUGGAGGAACACCGAUGGCGAAGGCAGCCUCCUGGUCUAGCACUGACGCUCAUGCACGAAAGCGUGGGGAGCAAACAGGAUUAGAUACCCCAGUAGUC
rnacentral:rRNA from 1 species